UCCAACCGCUUGCGGAGGAGGGCACCUAAGGCAGGGCUGAUGACUGGGGUGAAGUCGUAACAAGGUAGCCGUACCGGAAGGUGUGGCUGGAUCACCUCCUUUUAGGGAGACCUAACCUGACUCACAUCCUUGUUGAGGGAGUGAGAGAGGUCAACCGAAGGUCGGUCAAAGGGAUAGUGAGGCUUCCAAAUUGAUUGGGACGGCAGCGGGCU
rnacentral:misc_RNA from 1 species